AGCGCUGGAAACGGCGUCUAAUACUGGAUAUGUGACGUGAUCGCAUGGUCUGCGUCUGGAAAGAAUUUCGGUUGGGGAUGGGCUCGCGGCCUAUCAGCUUGUUGGUGAGGUAAUGGCUCACCAAGGCGUCGACGGGUAGCCGGCCUGAGAGGGUGACCGGCCACACUGGGACUGAGACACGGCCCAGACUCCUACGGGAGGCAGCAGUGGGGAAUAUUGCACAAUGGGCGCAAGCCUGAUGCAGCAACGCCGCGUGAGGGAUGACGGCCUUCGGGUUGUAAACCUCUUUUAGCAGGGAAGAAGCGAAAGUGACGGUACCUGCAGAAAAAGCGCCGGCUAACUACGUGCCAGCAGCCGCGGUAAUACGUAGGGCGCAAGCGUUAUCCGGAAUUAUUGGGCGUAAAGAGCUCGUAGGCGGUUUGUCGCGUCUGCUGUGAAAUCCGGAGGCUCAACCUCCGGCCUGCAGUGGGUACGGGCAGACUAGAGUGCGGUAGGGGAGAUUGGAAUUCCUGGUGUAGCGGUGGAAUGCGCAGAUAUCAGGAGGAACACCGAUGGCGAAGGCAGAUCUCUGGGCCGUAACUGACGCUGAGGAGCGAAAGGGUGGGGAGCAAACAGGCUUAGAUACCCUGGUAGUCCACCCCGUAAACGUUGGGAACUAGUUGUGGGGUCCAUUCCACGGAUUCCGUGACGCAGCUAACGCAUUAAGUUCCCCGCCUGGGGAGUACGGCCGCAAGGCUAAAACUCAAAGGAAUUGACGGGGACCCGCACAAGCGGCGGAGCAUGCGGAUUAAUUCGAUGCAACGCGAAGAACCUUACCAAGGCUUGACAUAUACGAGAACGGGCCAGAAAUGGUCAACUCUUUGGACACUCGUAAACAGGUGGUGCAUGGUGUCGUCAG
rnacentral:rRNA from 1 species